rnacentral:rRNA from 1 species
GACGAACGCUGGCGGCGCGCCUAAUACAUGCAAGUCGAGCGAUGAAAUUUUAACCGUUCUCUUCGGAGAGUAGCUAAAAUGGAUUAGCGGCCGACGGGUGAGUAACCCGUGAGAAACCUGCCUUUCACAAGGGGAUAGCCUCGGGAAACCGGGAUUAAUACCCUAUGACACAUUUACUUUGCAUGGAAGAAUUGUUAAAACUCCGGUGGUGAAGGAUGGUCUCGUGCCUGAUUAGCUAGCUGGGGGGGUAACGGCCCACCAAGGCCAGGAGCAGUAAACGGGCGCAGAGAGUGGGCCGUGACACUGAAGCUGAGAAGCAGUCCAGACUCCUACGCGAUGCGGGAGUGGGGAAUGUUGCACAGUGGCGGAAAUGCUGAUGCAGCGCGGCCGCGUGAGCGAUGAAGGCAGUCGAGACGUAAAGCGCAAUCAUAUGUGAAGAUAAUGACGGUACCAAAGGAGAAAGCCCCGGCUAACUACGUG